GGCUGGGAUAGCUCAGUCAGCUGAGCAUGGGUCUCUUAAUCUCAGGCUCCUGGGUUCGAGCCCCACGUUGGGCCA